ACAAUUACAAUAUACCCUAUUUAUUCUUCGAGUACCGGGUAUAAAAAAUGGAACAAGGAUCGGCAAAUAGCGGUUAAAAGAAGAGAACAACAGGUGGCAGGGGGAAAUAGUCAUCGGAGAUGGAGAGCCUGCUGAUAGAUCUCUGGCAGGAGAAUAUUGAAGAUCUGCGUGGAGCCAUGAAGGAGGCUGGGCUCGCGAUUGGAUGGGGAGAUGUUCGAGUGAAAGUCGAAAAUUUGCAAACAAUACGGUGGAGUACCAGCCUUUAUAAUUGUGAUGGUAGACUGCCUCAGCUCCUGGUGGUUUUUUUUCGAUUUGACAUCCAUCUACAAUAAAGGGAAAACCAAUUUACAUAUUUAUGUGCAUA